rnacentral:misc_RNA from 1 species
GAUGAAGAACGUAGCGAAAUGCGAUAAGUAAUGUGAAUUGCAGAAUUCAGUGAAUCAUCGAAUCUUUGAACGCACAUUGCGCCCGCCAGUAUUCUGGCGGGCAUGCCUGUUCGAGCGUCAUUUCAACCAUCAAGCCCCAGGCUUGUGUUGGGGACCUGCGGCUGCCGCAGGCCCUGAAAACCAGUGGCGGGCUCGCUGUCACACCGGGCGUAGUAGAUUUUAUCUCGCUCAGGGCGCGCUGCGGGUUCCGGCCGUUAAAAAGCCUUUUUUACCCAAGGUUGACCUCGGAUCAGGUAGGAAGACCCGCUGAACUUAAGCAUAUCAAUAAGCGGAGGA